CAAAUCCAACCCCCCCCCCCCCGCAAGGGAUCUUUAUAGAGGAACCGAGAAGUCAAAGUGUCAUCAACAUAGUGUCAUCAACAGGCCCUCACAAUCCAAAAGAAGCCACCAAGACUCACACGGUUCAUGGAGAAGGGUUCUCACAGUACCAGGAAUGUCUGAGACACAUAGUCUGGGCUGCCAGCAUUUCCCAGUGUUUCAGGAUCCUGAAGGCACAGAGAACGUCGAGAUGGUGGGACCUCUAGAGGGCUGGGUGAGCAGAACAGAGGGGACUAGGGUCAGAAGCAGGAGGGUGUGGGCUGUGGUGACAGGUACCUCACAGGGCCUUCACUUAUCGCUUGGCUCUGCGACCCGCUGAGUUUCGCCCACCACGUCGGUAGAGAGUCUGCUGUCUGCUGUUGAGUGGACAAUACUUGAGUGUAUGAGCCUGGUCGCCGGUGGCUCCGCAAACAGGACACACAUAGUGCCUCAGGAUGGGACACACAACCACCCCUUCAGGUGUCUUCAGCUGGUGUGAGGUGUAGACGUGACGAGACUCUCCAUUGUGCUUGCAGAAGUUGCAUAUGGUAGGCAGACGUCCAGGGUAGACCUCCAGGCCCUGCUCACUCUCCUCCUGGGGCCUGGAGUUGGGCUCCUCUGCUACCUCACCCUCCUGUCUUUGCUUCCGGCUCUGAAUUAUAUCCAUCACCACCUGGCUCAGGUUAAAGUAGUCUCUCCACAUGUCAAAGGGUGGUAGGUCCAUGGCACGUAAAUGUGGCAGUGGGCACUGGAGAGGGACUGGGGGGG
rnacentral:lncRNA from 1 species